CAGGUGAUCAGCAAAGCCGUUGCUUUACCCUAAGAAAUGGAGAGUCUGUGGCUGCCUCUGUCCUUCCGGGACAGAGUCCAUGCAGGCUGAGCGACUGUCUUGGCUGCAGCACCAAGUGGCUAAUCUGUUAUUUCUCCCAUGGUCACCGGUCCCUCAUCGGUCUGCAACCCUCUCCCUCGCUGGGCCAGCUUUCUCUCCUCAGACUCAGGAAACUAACAGGUCGCCUGACACGAGCAAAGUCUAACCGGAAGGGUAGAGAGAGGCGGACAUAAGCACUGACCUCAUCUCCUGGAACUCCAUUAAGGAGGCCAGGAGGUGGUGGCACCUUCUCCAGACACAGAAUCAGAGGGACUGACUUGAAGAUCCGAGCAGCUGGGCCCUACAGCACGGAGGACGGAGAGCCUCUGAGUAGCAGGCCUCUGGAAACGGGCGUUGGGAGCCUCCCCCAAAGUGGGCUUGCUACCCCGUCACCCAGGCCGAGCCCACAGUCAACAAGCCGGGCCCCCGAGCGCCAAGGCCCACAGCUUCCCGUUGGGUGGUAGUGCCUGGAAGGACCCUCAGGAACAGACAGAAGAACCUGGAGGAAGCAGGGAGGCAGGCAGCUGAGUGAAACUGAAGCAAUCGAGCCAACAAGACGACAAGCGGCGACAGGUGUGAAGGUAACAGCCAGGAACAACAAAAGGAGGUAGAGAACAAGAAAUGAUAGGUAAGGACUGAGGGUCCGUCCUGGGGGUCAGCAUAUCUGACAGAAGUUCCAGAAACAGAACCCAGUAAACCCUCCAUUUAACGGACUUCGUAUUUAUUGGACAGAAUUUCUGGUCUGUAUGUCAUAUGUGAAAAUUAACACCCUGUUACUUUUAAAACGCUUUUAACCAAGAGUUGCUUAUAAUUAACAGCUUAUUUUUGGUUAUUAAUUCACUGUUAUUUUUAAACAAAUUUUAGCGAAUAGGCCAUAUGUUAGAAAAGACAUUGUAGUAAUUCUGCCUACAUAAGUAUUACAUAUCCACAACGAUCUGCAUAUUUAAAUUCAGGGCCACCGCUCGUAAACAGCAUUCGGCUAAUUAGCACGUGAUCACACCGAGUCUCAAGUGGUCAUUGGUGCGUGGUAAUGGGUUCUGUCCUCUCGUGGCGUGACCUGCAGCAGUUUUAACGCGUGCGGCCCAUGUUCCCACGUGUGUUGAGCCACGCCCCAGCCGUGUGCAUUUAUUUUCAUGGAGUGACUGGUGAAGGCACGCACUUACUAGACCUAUUCAGUAUAAAUUUAAAAUUUCUGCAAUUCACAUAGAAAACUUUUCUUUGAAAUGAAACUUUUUAGACAUACUUAAUUUUAGUUACACAAAUUUGUCUACAUAAGUAAAAACAGGUAACCUAAUUUGCCAAUUUUUUAAGAUGUGCAUUUGGAAAACUCACUUUAUGAUAUAAUGGACUUCGGACUUUAAUGAGCACCCCCUCACCUGACUUAGUCCGUAAUAUUGAGGUUUUGCUGUAAAUGAAGGAAGUUAUCAAAGAAAUAUCGUAAGAAAAUUUUCAAAACAGAAGGAUGCAAGCAUCCAGCUCGCCAGGGCUCACUGAUGCCCAGUAUGAGGAUGGACCAGAGGCCGCCAGAGACCCUCCCCAAGGAGGGAGCCCAAGGGAGAGGGAGGAGGAGAAGGAGAGAAGGAAGCAAAGCCCCGUUCAGGGAUGUGGAUCAAACUGCCACUGGACUCCUCAGAGCAGCACAGGAGGAUCAACAGCAAAAACCUUAACACCCCGAAUGAACACAAUUUCCAACCGGGAUUCUGUGCCCAGCUACACUAUUCAUCAAGGGUGACUGCAGGAUAGAGAGAUUUCCAGACAGGCCAGAACUACAGAGAGAAGCAUUUUCUGCGCAGCAUUUUUCAAAACGUUACUGGGGGAUGAGCUCCACCAACCAGGACUGAAGACACCGGUCUUGCCAACAAGGAACCCGGGCAGGUCAGGCAGGGGCCAGGAGGACAGCGGGGCAGCAGGCCUGGGGGGGGGCGGGGCUGCCCGGGCCUCGGCCGCUCCGCAGUGCGGACAAUGACAGAGACACAGAGAGGUGGUGCCCGUGGCCAUCGGAGGCUUUGGGAAGCAUUAGCAAUGGGAACAUAGAAAACUAGACAAACGAGGAACAAGGCAACUGUUAAUUCCAGCAAAUGGUAAAAGUAUGAAUAAAGGAACAUCUGAAUCUAGUGUUUGGAUUAGUAAAUAUUUACAUAGUUGUGAUCAUGCAAGUCCAGAAUAUCCAGUGAAUGAAAAGCAUGACCCUUCACUGCUGGGAGUCUGGGGGCCAGGGACGCGGUGGGGACAGGGACGCCGGCCUCCCCGCCUCUCCGGGAAGCCGAGAGGAAGGAUCUCGGGUGGCGUGGAAGCGGCGUUGUCAUUCCUACUGAACCAGGGGCGCGAGUGCAGAGGAAACAGCUUCCAGGGCAGUGUGGCCCCUGGACAGUGGGCAGCGAUGGGGCUGCGGAGACGGGUCGUUUGCGGACUGUUCAUGGUGGCUCUCAGCCCACAGUACACUGAUGGGCUUUUUGAACAAUGUGUUUGUAUUUCUUUGAGAAAAAUUAAAAAGGAGUGAGCAGCAGGUGUAGCCCCUUCGGCGGGUGAAGACUCGGGUGCUCCGCAGGCCUGAGGGGCGUGCUGGCGUGGCCGGUCGGCCCGCGCUGCGUCCUCCACGGGCAGGCGGUGGCCCCAGGAGAGGCAGGACAGAAUGUGACACGUGGGUCUCCGAGGUGAGCUGCUUGCCCCGCGGCUGCUGGAGGGGCAGCCUGACAGAAGCUCCGUCCGUUUCGGUCACGGCCUGUGAAGCCAGCUGCGUUCAGAAGAAACAUAUGACCAUGGUUUGUAUUUAUUUAAUCCAAAAGGUUUCCUUUCAAAGAGAGAAAUAGGGGGCCCGGGGAAACUCUUCUCAGUGACCGUGCACUCGCAGGCCACAAAGCAGGGGAGACAAUUUCCAUAAUAUUUCACCUCAUUCUGCACACGUCUCCAAGCCGCCUUUGAUGCCACAGUUCAGAACGCAGCCCAGAGCCUCUUGCUCUAAAACAAAUCAGCUGCUCCCUGCACACCCCCCUCCCCAUUACCCCCACCUCCUACUUUUGCAACCGCAGCUCCCACCCACCCCGCUCCCCUGCCCCUCCAACC